GAAUCUUAGCUUAUCAAAAUUGCGAACGAAAGAUUCGCAAUAUUGCGAAAAGACUUCUCUGUGCAGUUUCUGAGUAGCUCGAGACUUACUCUGCCAGUGCGAUCAGUUCAGUGCUUGUCGUUCCUGGUUUGACGUCACAAACACACCCAGCGUUCGCCCAGACACUCCUCCGUUUCUCCAGCCACUCCAGCGUUUUUCCCAGAAACGGUUGCGUUUUUUCACACACUCCCAUAAAACGGACAGUUUCCGCCCAGAAACACCCACUUCCUGUCAAUCACAUUACGAUCACCAGAACGAAGAAAAAACCUCGUAAUGCCGUGAGUAAAAUACCUACCUGCAUAGCAAAUUUACUUGGCGCAGUCGCACUGCGGACAUUGCGCAUGCGCAUUAGCGACUAAUCGCUCCGUUGCGAGAAAAAAAUAACGAGUGAACAACUCGGAAUGACCCCCAUUGUUAACAUUUUUAAGUAUUAAACAAAAAAACACAACACAGCACAACAACACAAUGAGCAUGCAUAUACUUAUAAUGAACAUGCAUAUACUUACCAGAAAAUACAAAAACAACAGAAAAAAAUAAGUAAAACACAAAAACAAGGCUACUUAGGGCAUACAAAUUACAACAAUUAAUGCUGCCUUGCAAAGAAAAUAUAAAAAAAACAUAAAUAAUAAGCACACUAAAGGCCCAUACACAAUAGGUGACUUUGCCCUCAAAAUCGUUCAUUUUUGCCGCCGUUUUGAAUGAUUUUGAGGUCAAAGUCUCCCAGCACACUCCCGUAUCAUCGCCAGCGAGGUGGACCGUUGGCUGGUUUUUACCAGCAUGUUUGCAGGUGAUGGUUCAUUUUCCAGCCAUCAUCGCUCAGUGUAUAUGGCCGCGAGCGAUGAUGGCUGGAAGAUGAACUAUUUUAUGCCCGCCGGACCCGCCCUGCUCUCGCUCCAAAUCCAACCUGCUCUGGUGCUGCAGUCCCGCCUGCUUCCUCCUGCUUAGCCUGCUCCCAACUGCUUAGCGUGCUCCGUCCAGCAGUGAUUGAAGUGAGUCGCCGGAUCGGCCCUGCUCUCGCCCCAAGUCCCACCUGCUCCGGCGCCGCAUCCCCGCCUACUUCCUCCUGCUCAGCGUGCUCCCUCCAGCAGUGAAGUGAGUCACUGCAUGAAGCUGGCCACCAAUGUUUAGUUCAUGCUUUUUAUUUAAGCCAGUAAUAUAUACAUUGCUGGCACAGGCCAGCAAUGUAUAUAUUACUGGUGUCACUGCCCACCAAUGAUUAUUUAUGCCAGUAAUAUAUACAUUGCUGGCAGAGACCAGCAAUGUAUAUGUUCUGGCACCACUGGCCACCAAUGUUUAUGUAUAAUAUAUACAUAAUAUAUAAAACGCAGGCAGAGUCCCCCUUUUUACACAUUAUGGCAGCAGAGUCCCCCUUUUUACAAUGGCCCAUGCUCCCACCCUUGGAAUUCAAACCCAGCCCAUAAUGUAACUAAAUAGCCUUUCUAAUGAAAGAUUUUCAGCAAAGUCUUUUGCCUCCUGAAAAUCUUUUGCACUUUGGGAAAACAGCUCAGUAUGUAUGCACUGCUUUGGGUGAAAGAUAUAUCUUUCAAAGAUGUUGUCAAAGUCUUUUGAAAUGAAAAUCUCCUAGUGUGUAUUGGCCUUAAGAUAACCCAACACGCCACCCCACAACACAAACCUAUGAGCAUGCAAAUACUUACCCGCAGAUGAACUUGAGAACUGAAAAAAAAAGGCAAAAGGCCACAACUGAGAAAAUGGGCUACUUUGCCAAAAUACAAUAACUAAAAAAUAUGCUUCCUUCAGAAGAAAAAAACAAAAACAUAAUAAGCACACUAAGAUAACCCAACACCCCACUCCACAACACACACCUAUGAGCAUGUACAUACUUACCAGCAGAUAGAUAUACUGUUGUUCCUUUGAUAAUAAAUGUACACCUAUAAAUUACAAAAUUCAGGCCAUCACCACUACAAGCAUCCUACAAUACAUACAAAGACAAAACACCAGAACACCAAAAAGAUAUAAAAUUGUUUGGCCUACACUCUGUGCGUUCACACAACAAAGAAACGCGACGCACCACACAGGGACGUGGUGCAAAUACAUCAGCAUACAACAUAGUUUACACAAUUAUUACAACAAAUAACAACUACACGUCUCUGCAUAACACAUUAUUUUUACAUUACUCCAUGGAAAACUUAAAAACAAUGCAUACUUCUGAACAUCUAAACACAGACAUAUCUUACCACAAAUAAACACUCUCCACCUAUGAAAAUCCGCAAACACACCAACUCCAACUGAUUAACUCCUGGAUGCACCCCCAAACCACGGAUGGCUAGAAAUGCUUAAAUAGUGGUAACAAUCAAAGGAAAUUUACCAAUUGCUUAUGCAUCAUCUGUGGUAAUUUACGCUAAGCAUGCAUACGCAGGUAUAAAAAAAAAACCCUGGACCAUAAGCACAUGCUACCAGCAUCAUGGCGCGUGAUUUUGCUCAGGAAUACAGAAAAAUACAUGCAGGGUAUGCUGCCAUAAAGGCAUAAGAAAUUAGAAUCCAUAAAAGACUGGAUCAGUUGGCACAUGAGCAAGAAGUUGGCUUUGAAGAGGAGACAGGAGCAGAACCCAGUAGUGAAGUAUGGUGUGAGUUCCCUGGCUGAGGAAGAUGUGGACCAAACUGAGGAAGAUUAUGUGCCAACUACCCAAACGCAAGAAUCAGGCCCACACAGUGAAGAGGAAGAUGGAACUAGUUCUCAUGCUACUGCAUCGCAGGCAACAACCACCAUUUACCAGGAUGGAGUUGGGCAUUCUCGUCCCACAAGCCAUUGAGAAGAUUCAUUUUGGCAAUAAGAACAUGGGCGCUGGGACCAAGGACCAUAUCUGGAGGGAGAUCACAGAUGCAGUUAAUGUGGUGGGACGAAUUGUCCGCAUACCCCAAGAAGUCAGGAGAUGUUGGUCUGACUUCAAGUCCCGGCUGAAGCAGAAAAAGUCUGCGCAUUGGAAAGCUUCGAGGGCAACAGGGGGAGAGUCACUCCCUGAGACUGUGGAAUUUACCGACCUAGAGGAGCAAGCGAUGGUCUGUGUGUCAUAUGAGGAGGUGGCAGGUGUGUCCGAAAUGGACAUCGACACACCUGCCCUUGAAUGUCCACAUGCAGAGCCGGCGCAAGCCGCUCAGCAAAGGAAUGCAGUGCAGGGAGGCGCCAAACUGAAGAGGCGCUCAACCUCUCCCUGCUCUGCAUCCUUGCUGCUGCCAGCUGCCGCUGCGCCUGUCACACUGGAUGACAGGUAGCGGCGCUGGCAGCGUGCAGAGCGGCUCCCUCCCCCUCCUCCUCCCCAGAGUGUGUAUUCCUCCCCAGAGAGUGUAUGCAGUGUGCGGCCUCAGCCCACACACUGCGCUGCUGACAUCCCGAUUCCUGAUCUGCUUAAAGGGUGGGGGCAUGGCCUAAUCGCGGGAGCCGUGGCCACGCCCCUUUCGGGUGUUUCUUUUUAAAGUCCUUGCUGCACAGUGCAGGGUGGGUGCAGUGCCCGAUCCCUGAGCCCCCCAGCCAGGAUCAUUUCGAGGGGGGAGUGUGAUCACUGUGAUCACACUCCCCCCACUCACUCAUACAGGAACACACAGUGAGUGGAUCAGUAUUAGCAGCAGCCUCUCUGCCCCACUGCAGCACAGCACCUUCAGCAUGUGCUGUGCUGCCAAGAUGAGAGCUGCUGCUGCUGCCCAGUAAGGUGGGAGUGUAGCGGACCAGGGCCCCCUCCGGGCCCCUCCAUCAGCCCCAGGCCCAAGUAAUUAGUACCCGCUCCCUCCCCCUCGUCACUGACAGCAUACUAAAGAGCCAUUGGAGUAACGGAGCCUGCAUGAAACCGGCGAAGAAGAGAGAGGAGGAGCAGCGCCCGAGCCGGGACCUCCUGCAGCACAGGAGGUGUAGCUCACUGAGGCUGAGGAGGGGGGAAGCAGUGACAGCUCCAGUGUGGGGCAAGAAAGGCCACCAUCCCAGCAACACACUGGCACACUACACCAACCCAGUCUCCCGGAGCUUCUGGGCCAAAUUGUCACCCAUGGAAGUAUUAACACCGACUUCCAUGACCAGAUGCUCCGGGAGGUCCGUGAGCUGUCCUCCCCGGUCCUUGAGCUGUCCUCCACUGUGCAACAAGGCAUGUGUGACAUCUCCUCCUCUGUGGCACAAGGAAUGCAUGACAUCUCGACCACUAUUGGGCAAGGCAUGCAGACGAUCGCAGACCUCCUUGGCCAGAGUCUCAGGGAGGUUACAACACCUGGCUCAUCCCCUAGCCGUGCCCAGGAACAAGAUCCCACUGGGCAAGUCCCUCGAAGAUCCGUGCGCAGACCCAACACAGAGCAACAACCCCUUCAGGCGGGUAAAAAAAGGAGAACAUUUUGAUUUCUCGCCAGAUGCGGUCUUUGUUUCCAGCGCCCAUGUUCUGUUUUCAAAAAUUAAUUUUCUCAAUGGUUUGUGGGACCAGAAUGUCAAACUCCCUGCUGAAUGGGGUUUGGCGCCUUCUCUUUUCUUUCCCUGCCUGUGAGGCAUUAGCCUGUGAACUUGUCCCACCUUCCUCUUCAGUUUGUGGUGUUGAUUGUUGCAUUUGGGUAUUGGGCCCAGAAACUUCCUCAAUUUGCCCCACAUCUUCCUCAGCCACUGAGACCAGUCUCUUGUUGUGUUUGUUGCCCAGUAGAUGUGGGUACUUCACUACUGGGUACUGUCCAGCCCCCUCCCACCCAGCGACCGCCUCUGCCUCAGUGGCGAUCGCUAGGCAACAACGGCCUUCGGCCAUCUGGCAUGCGCAGUUCUGACCUGAUUGCUGCGCUGCGAUAAACUCCAGCGAGCGAUCAGGUCAGAAUGACCCCCACAAUGCAACUUGAUAGAUAACUCAAAGCAAUGUGUCAGCUCUAAGCAAUGUGUACCCAGAAAGAGGGUCUAAAAAAAAACAACAAAAAAAACAGUUGUGUGUAAUGUGUACAAUUGCUUGACAAACAACACGUUGUACAUGUGCAGUACACAUGUAAUAGUUGUAAACAAACAUGUGUGUUGAUUGUGAGUUGCACAUAUCCAGGGAGUGUUAAAAUGCAUACCAUU